AGGCGGCCCUCCAGAGUGACAGGCAAGCUGCAGGCAGGCGGCCCUCCAGAGUGACAGGCAAGGUGCAGGCAGGCGGCCCUCCAGAGUGACAGGCAAGGUGCAGGCAGGCGGCCCUCCAGAGUGACAGGCAAGGUGCAGGCAGGCGGCCCUCCAGAGUGACAGGCAAGGUGCAGACAGGCGGCCCUCCAGAGUGACAGGCAAGGUGCAGACAGGCGGCCCUCCAGAGUGACAGGCAAGGUGCAGGCAGGCGGCCCUCCAGAGUGACAGGCAAGGUGCAGGCAGGCGGCCCUCCAGAGUGACAGGCAAGGUGCAGACAGGCGGCCCUCCAGAGUGACAGGCAAGGUGCAGGCAGGCGGCCCUCCAGAGUGACAGGCAAGGUGCAGGCAGGCGGCCCUCCAGAGUGACAGGCAAGGUGCAGACAGGCGGCCCUCCAGAGUGACAGGCAAGGUGCAGGCAGGCGGCCCUCCAGAGUGACAGGCAAGGUGCAGGCAGGCGGCCCUCCAGAGUGACAGGCAAGGUGCAGGCAGGCGGCCCUCCAGAGUGACAGGCAAGGUGCAGGCAGGCGGCCCUCCAGAGUGACAGGCAAGGUGCAGGCAGGCGGCCCUCCAGAGUGACAGGCAAGGUGCAGGCAGGCGGCCCUCCAGAGUGACAGGCAAGGUGCAGACAGGCGGCCCUCCAGAGUGACAGGCAAGGUGCCUCCGCUGCAUACAGACCUAUUAUCCUGGUUUCUCUGGACACCAGAGGAGUUAGAAGAUAUCCCUAGUUGAUAUUGGCUGCUAACAUGAAUGACUUUCAUCUUAAAAUGCUGGUUUAAAACGCAGUUUAUUUCUGCGUCUUGCACUUUGAAAAAUGAAUCUCUGUUUAUGGCUGUAAUGACAGGCUACAUUUGCGCAGCGUAAGAGCGUGCGGGCGGGUCGCAAGCUUUGAUCCAUAUUAAAAUGAAUUUUUACAUAAUAAAAAUAUUUAGUGGACAAAAUAAUGAAAAGGGCUGUCUGGUAGCCUCAAUCAAUAGACAAAAUAUUGUAGUUGAACAAGUCAUUGUGUGUGUGUAUGUAUGUAUGUAUAUAUAUAUAUAAUAUAUAUAUUUUACUUGACUUGAACAAACUUGACUCAACAUGCACUUAGAAUGCAGAGACGAACUGUUCUACUCCAGACUUUGCUUGUGACUUGGUUGGGGCAAUUCCAUUUCAAUUCCAGUCAAUUCAGUAAGUACACGAAAAUUCCAAUUAUUUUCAAUGGGGAACAUUUGGAAUAUGGUUUACUUUCUGAAUUGGAAUGCAGCUCUUAUGGAAUGCAGCUCUUAUGGAAUGCAGCUCUUAUGGAAU